rnacentral:rRNA from 1 species
ACCAAGCUUCCAGGAAAAGCCACUAAGCUUCAGUCUAGAGUUGACCGUACCGCAAACCGACACAGGUGGGCAGGAUGAAAAUUCUAAGGCGCUUGAGAGAACUCAGGAGAAGGAACUCGGCAAAUUAACACCGUAACUUCGGGAGAAGGUGUGCCCCGGUAGCGUGUAGAGACUUGCUCUCGAAGCGCGAUGGGGUUGCAGUGAAAUGGUGGCUGCGACUGUUUAAUAAAAACACAGCACUCUGCAAACACGAAAGUGGACGUAUAGGGUGUGACGCCUGCCCGGUGCCGGAAGGUUAAGUGAUGGGGUGCAAGCUCUUGAUCGAAGCCCCGGUAAACGGCGGCCGUAACGAUAACGGUCCUAAGGUAGCGAAAUUCCUUGUCGGGUAAGUUCCGACCUGCACGAAUGGCGUAACGAUGGCCACACUGUCUCCUCCUGGGACUCAGCGAAGCUGAAAUGUUUGUGAAGAUGCAAUCUACCCGCGGCUAGACGGAAAGACCCCAUGAACCUUUACUGUAGCUUUGCAUUGGACUUUGAACCGGUUUGUGUAGGAUAGGUGGGAGACUGUGAAGCCGGGACGCUAGUUUCGGUGGAGUCAACCUUGAAAUACCACCCUGAUUUGUUUGAGGUUCUAACCUUGGUCCGUGAAUCCGGAUCGGGGACCGUGCAUGGUAGGCAGUUUGACUGGGGCGGUCCCCUCCCAAAAGGUAACGGAGGAGUACGAAGGUGCGCUUAGGGCGGUCGGACAUCGCCCACAAGUGCAAUGGCAAAAGCGUGCUUGACUGCGAGACCCACAAGUCGAGCAGGUACGAAUGUAGGUCAUAGUGAUCCGGUGGUUCUGUAUGGAAGGGCCAUCGCUCAACGGAUAAAAGGUACUCUGGGGAUAACAGGCUAAUUCCUCCCAAGAGUUCAUAUCGACGGGGGAGUUUGGCGCCUCGAUGUCGGCUCAUCACAUCCUGGGGCUGUAGUCGGUCCCAAGGGUAUGGCUGUUCGCCUUUUAAAGUGGUACGCGAGCUGGGUUUAAAACGUCGUGAGACAGUUUGGUCCCUAUCUGCCGUGGGCGCUGGAAAUUUGAAGGGGGCUGCUCCUAGUACGAGAGGACCGGAGUGGACGAACCUCUGGUGUACCGGUUAUGACGCCAGUCGUAUCGCCGGGUAGCUAAGUUCGGAAGAGAUAAACGCUGAAAGCAUCUAAGCGUGAAACUCGCCUUAAGAUAAGAUUUCCCGGAGUC